rnacentral:lncRNA from 1 species
CUCUACCCUGGAUAAGAGACAAUUCUCCUACUGAGGUCUUCAAACUGGAAGAUCAUCUCUUCCUGGUUCCACAGCAGCUACUGAACUUCAACCUUAAGCUGGGACUUUGGGUUUGCAGAUUUUGGAUUUGCCAGCCUCCGUAAUCGGUUUAAUUUACAGACACCAAAAAACUGGAAACAACCCAAAUAUCCUUCAGUUUGUGACUGGAUAAUCAAACCAUGUUCCAUCCAUACAAUGGGAUACUACGCAGCAAUAAAAAGAAACAAACUCCUGAUACAACAAUGUGGAUGUAUCUCAAAGGCAUUAUGGAAUGAAGAAAAUGGACUAAAUGAUCUCUAAGUCAUCUUCACUAAAAAGGUUACUGAAGAAGAAUCUUCUCCUAAUGCUCACUAGCAACUUUGGACUGAGAAUAGAUAAGAUACUAUUUAUAAUCGUAUUACGAUUUUUUUUAAAGGUUACCUGUCAAAAUGAAUGACCAAACAAGAAAAUGGAAGGAAGGUAGUGGAAGAAAGAAGAAAAAAAAAGAAAAACAAAAUCCCAAGGCAAUGUUUUUCUUACCCACUGUUACCCACAGUAAGCUGUGUAUUUCAGGCUGUGCCAGAGGCACCCACAUGCGUUUAUCUAAAACAAACGUUUCACAAAGCAAAAGUUAUCCUUACAAAGUGAGGUGCACUUUUCUAUUUUCUAUUCUAUUCUAUUCUUUUUGAUUGUGCCUUUGACACACUAGUUAAUU